rnacentral:rRNA from 1 species
GAUGAACGCUAGCGGCAGGCCUAACACAUGCAAGUCGAGGGAUAAGCCCUUCGGGGUGGAAACCGGCGCACGGGUGCGUAACGCGUAUGCAACCUACCUUUCACAGGGGUAUAGCCCGAAGAAAUUUGGAUUAAUACCCCAUAAUAUUGUUGGAUGGCAUCAUCUGGUAAUUAAAGUUACGAUGGUGAAAGAUGGGCAUGCGUCCUAUUAGCUAGUUGGAGUGGUAACGGCACCCCAAGGCUACGAUAGGUAGGGGUCCUGAGAGGGAGAUCCCCCACACUGGUACUGAGACAGGGACCAGACUCCUACGGGAGGCAGCAGUGAGGAAUAUUGGUCAAUGGUCGAAAGACUGAACCAGCCAUGCCGCGUGCAGGACAGACGGCCCUAGAGGUUGUAAACUGCUUUUAUAUGGGAAGAAUAAGGAGUACGAGUACUUUGA